UGAUCCUGGCUCAGAACGUACGCUGGCGGCACGCCUAACACAUGCAAGUCGAACGAAGUAGCAAUACUUAGUGGCAGACGGGUGAGUAACAUGUAGGUAUCUGCCCUUUGGCCUGGAAUAACACGAGGAAACUUGUGCUAAUACCGGAUAAGUCUUUACGGAGAAAGCUUUAUGCACCAUUGGAUGAGCCUGCGCUUGAUUAGUUUGUUGGUGGGGUAAUGGCCUACCAAGACUGUGAUCAAUAGCUGAUUUGAGAGGAUAAUCAGCCACAUUGGGACUGAGACACGGCCCAAACUCCUACGGGAGGCAGCAGUGGGGAAUCUUGCACAAUGGAGGAAACUCUGAUGCAGCGAUGCCGCGUGAGUGAAGAAGGCCCUUGGGUUGUAAAGCUCUUUCGUCGGGGAAGAAAAUGACUGUACCCGAAUAAGAAGGUCCGGCUAACUUCGUGCCAGCAGCCGCGGUAAUACGAAGGGACCUAGCGUAGUUCGGAAUUACUGGGCUUAAAGAGUUCGUAGGUGGUUGAAAAAGUUAGUGGUGAAAUCCCAGAGCUUAACUCUGGAACUGCCAUUAAAACUUUUCAGCUAGAGUAUGAUAGAGGAAAGCAGAAUUUCUAGUGUAGAGGUGAAAUUCGUAGAUAUUAGAAAGAAUACCAAUUGCGAAGGCAGCUUUCUGGAUCAUUACUGACACUGAGGAACGAAAGCAUGGGUAGCGAAGAGGAUUAGAUACCCUCGUAGUCCAUGCCGUAAACGAUGUGUGUUAGACGUUGGAAAUUUAUUUUCAGUGUCGCAGGGAAACCGAUAAACACACCGCCUGGGGAGUACGACCGCAAGGUUAAAACUCAAAUGAAUUGACGGGGACCCGCACAAGUAGUGGAGCAUGUGGUUUAAUUCGAAGAUACGCGCAGAACCUUACCAACACUUGACAUGUUCGUCGCGACUCUAAGAGAUUAGAGUUUUCGGUUCGGCCGGACGAAACACAGGUGCUGCAUGGCUGUCGUCAGCUCGUGUCGUGAGAUGAUGGGUUAAGUCCCGCAACGAGCGCAACCCUCACUUUUAGUUGCCAUCAUUAAGUUGGGCACUCUGAAAGAACUGCCAGUGAUAAGCUGGAGGAAGGUGGGGAUGACGUCAAGUCCUCAUGGCCCUUACGUGUUGGGCUACACACGUGCUUCAAUGGUAUCUACAACAGGAAGCAAGACUGCGAAGUUAAGCAAAUCCCUAAAAGAUACCUCAGUUCGGAUUGCACUCUGCAACUCGAGUGCAUGAAGCUGGAAUUACUAGUAAUCGUGGAUCAGCGUGCCACGGUGAAUGCGUUCCCGGGUCUUGUACACACCGCCCGUCACACCAUGGGAGUUGGUUCUACCUUAAGGCAAGGUUUUAAACCCUUGACCACGGUAUAGUCAGCGACUGGGGUGAAGUCGUAACAAGGUAACC
rnacentral:rRNA from 1 species